rnacentral:rRNA from 1 species
CGUCAGCUCGUGUCGUGAGAUGUUGGUUAAGUCCGCAACGAGCGCAACCCCUAUUGUUAGUUGCCAUCAUUCAGUUGGGCACUCUAGCGAGACUGCCGGUAAUAAACCGGAGGAGGGUGGGGAUGACGUCAAAUCAUCAUGCCCCUUAUGACCUGGGCUACACACGUGCUACAAUGGUUGGUACAACGAGUUGCGAGUCGGUGACGGCGAGCUAAUCUCUUAAAGCCAAUCUCAGUUCGGAUUGUAGGCUGCAACUCGCCUACAUGAAGUCGGAAUCGCUAGUAAUCGCGGAUCAGCACGCCGCGGUGAAUACGUUCCCGGGCCUU